AUUGAACGCUGGCGGCAGGCUUAACACAUGCAAGUCGAGCGGAGAGAAGUAGCUUGCUACUGAUCCUAGCGGCGGACGGGUGAGUAAUGCUUAGGAAUCUGCCUAUUAGUGGGGGACAACAUUCCGAAAGGAAUGCUAAUACAGCAUACGUCCUACGGGAGAAAGCAGGGGAUCUUCGGACCGUGCGCUAAUAGAUGAGCCAAAGUCGGAUUAGCUAGUUGGUGGGGUAAAGGCCUACCAAGGCGACGAGCUGUAGCGGGUCUGAGAGGAUGAUCCGCCACACUGGGACUGAGACACGGCCCAGACUCCUACGGGAGGCAGCAGUGGGGAAUAUUGGACAAUGGGCGGAAGCCUGAUCCAGCCAUGCCGCGUGUGUGAAGAAGGCCUUAUGGUUGUAAAGCACUUUAAGCGAGGAGGAGGCUACUUUAGUUAAUACCUAGAGAUAGUGGACGUUACUCGCAGAAUAAGCACCGGCUAACUCUGUGCCAGCCGCCGCCGUAAUAC
rnacentral:rRNA from 1 species